GUCAAUGGUAGCUCAGGCGGGGCAGCCUCCGGGCUGGCCGGUAUCCUGUGAAGCCGGUAUUUCCACCCCCGUCUGGGCUAUCGCCAUC
rnacentral:antisense_RNA from 17 species